rnacentral:misc_RNA from 1 species
GAUGAAGAACGUAGCGAAAUGCGAUACUUGGUGUGAAUUGCAGAAUCCCGUGAACCAUCGAGUCUUUGAACGCAAGUUGCGCCCGAAGCCAUUAGGCCGAGGGCACGCCUGCCUGGGCGUCACACGUCGUUGCCCCCCCCAUCUACUCCUUCGGGAUUGCGGGGGGCGGAUGAUGGCCUCCCGUGUGCCUCGCCGCGCGGUUGGCAUAAAUGCCAAGUCCUCGGCGACGCACGCCACGACAAUCGGUGGUUGCGAAACCUCGGUUGCCCGUCGUGUGCGGUCGUCGCGCAUCGAGGGCUCGAAAAAAUUGCUGGGUUCCGGCUCGGCUUUCAACGCGACCCCAGGUCAGGCGGGGUUACCCGCUGAAUUUAAGCAUAUCAAUAAGCGGAGGA